rnacentral:rRNA from 1 species
AAUAGAUACCCAGGUAGUCCACGCCGUAAACGAUGAGUGCUAAGUGUUAGGGGGUUUCCGCCCCUUAGUGCUGCAGCUAACGCAUUAAGCACUCCGCCUGGGGAGUACGGUCGCAAGACUGAAACUCAAAGGAAUUGACGGGGGCCCGCACAAGCGGUGGAGCAUGUGGUUUAAUUCGAAGCAACGCGAAGAACCUUACCAGGUCUUGACAUCCCAUUGGCCACUAUGGAGACAUAGUUUUCCCUUCGGGGACAACGGUGACAGGUGGUGCAUGGUUGUCGUCAGCUCGUGUCGUGAGAUGUUGGGUUAAGUCCCGCAACGAGCGCAACCCUUGUUCUUAGUUGCCAUCAUUUAGUUGGGCACUCUAAGGAGACUGCCGGUGACAAACCGGAGGAAGGUGGGGAUGACGUCAAAUCAUCAUGCCCCUUAUGACCUGGGCUACACACGUGCUACAAUGGACGGUACAAACGGUUGCCAACCCGCGAGGGGAGCUAAUCCGAUAAAACCGUUCUCAGUUCGGAUUGUAGGCUGCAACUCGCCUACA